CCAGCCCGCUCAGAAACUCAAAUGAAUUGACGGGGCCCGCACAAGCGAGGAGCAUGUGGUUAAUUCGAUGAUACGCGAGGAACCUUACCUGGGCUCGAACGUAAGAUGACUGUAGGUGAAAGCUUACAUCUCUUCGGAGCAUUUUACGAGGUGCUGCAUGGUUGUCGUCAGCUCGUGCCGUGAGGUGUCGGGUUAAGUCCCAUAACGAGCGCAACCCCUACCUUUAGUUGCCAUCAGGUAAUGCUGGGGACUCUAAAGGAACUGCCUACGCAAGUAGUGAGGAAGGCGGGGAUGACGUCAAAUCAGCACGGCCCUUACGUCCAGGGCUACACACGUGCUACAAUGGCCGAUACAGAGGGCAGCUACCUGGUGACAGGAUGCAAAUCUCCAAAGUCGGUCUCAGUUCGGAUCGGAGUCUGCAACCCGACUCCGUGAAGUUGGAUUCGCUAGUAAUCGCGCAUCAGCCAUGGCGCGGUGAAUACGUUCCCGGGCCUU
rnacentral:rRNA from 1 species